ACGACUCCUGGUGGUGAUCUUGCAAUAUUGCGCAAUAAUUGAAAGGGGACAUUAGUUUCAGCGGUAAAUAAAAUUACUUUAUCACUCUUGGCAUAGACUGUGACACUUGAACCCAGACACAAUGGAAUUAACGUGAUUAAAAUACCUGAACACUUGUAAGACCUCCCAGAAUACUGGAGUGAUUUGCACAAAUCGGUAGAAUCAAUGUCUUGUAAGAUUAACUGGAAGGGUAGAG